GACCGUCAAAUUGCGGGAAAGGGGUCAACAGCCGUUCAGUACCAAGUCUCAGGGGAAACUUUGAGAUGGCCUUGCAAAGGGUAUGGUAAUAAGCUGACGGACAUGGUCCUAACCACGCAGCCAAGUCCUAAGUCAACAGGAGACUGUUGAUAUGGAUGCAGUUCACAGACUAAAUGUCGGUCGGGGAAGAUGUAUUCUUCUCAUAAGAUAUAGUCGGACCUCUCCCGAAAGGGAGUUGGAGUACUCG
rnacentral:rRNA from 1 species